UACGGGGGGUGCAAACGUUGCUCGGAAUCAUUGGGCGUAAAGCGCACGUAGGCGGUCCAGUAAGUCGGGUGUGAAAUCUCGGAGCUUAACUCCGAAACUGCAUUCGAUACUGCCGUGCUUGAGGACUGGAGAGGAGACUGGAAUUUACGGUGUAGCGGUGAAAUGCGUAGAUAUCGUAAGGAAGACCAGUGGCGAAGGCGGGUCUCUGGACAGUUCCUGACGCUGAGGCACGAAGGCCAGGGGAGCAAACGGG
rnacentral:rRNA from 1 species